UACGGAGGGGGCUAGCGUUGUUCGGAAAUACUGGGCGUAAAGCGAACGUAGGCGGCUUGGCAAGUCAGGGGUGAAAUCCCAGUGCUCAACACUGGAACUGCCUUUGAAACUGCCAGGCUUGAAUCCUGGAGAGGUCAGUGGAAUUCCGAGUGUAGAGGUGAAAUUCGUAGAUAUUCGGAAGAACACCAGUGGCGAAGGCGACUGACUGGACAGGUAUUGACGCUGAGGUU
rnacentral:rRNA from 1 species